rnacentral:rRNA from 1 species
UACGAAGGGGGCUAGCGUUGCUCGGAAUCACUGGGCGUAAAGCGCGUGUAGGCGGGUCCUUAAGUCAGGGGUGAAAUGCCAAGGCUCAACCUUGGAACUGCCUUUGAUACUGGAGACCUUGAGUCCGGGAGAGGUGAGUGGAAUUGCGAGUGUAGAGGUGAAAUUCGUAGAUAUUCGCAAGAACACCAGUGGCGAAGGCGGCUCACUGGCCCGGAACUGACGCUGAGACGCGAAAGCGUGGGGAGCAAACAGG